CGAACGCUGGCGGCAGGCUUAACACAUGCAAGUCGAGCGCCGUAGCAAUACGGAGCGGCAGACGGGUGAGUAACGCGUGGGAACAUGCCCUUUGGUUUGGAAUAACUCAGGGAAACUUGAGCUAAUACCGGAUAAGCCCCGCAAGGGGGAAAGAUUUAUCGCCGAAGGAUUGGCCCGCGUCCGAUUAGCUAGUUGGUGUGGUAAUGGCGCACCAAGGCGACGAUCGGUAGCUGGUCUGAGAGGAUGAUCAGCCACACUGGGACUGAGACACGGCCCAGACUCCUACGGGAGGCAGCAGUGGGGAAUAUUGGACAAUGGGCGCAAGCCUGAUCCAGCCAUGCCGCGUGAGUGAUGAAGGCCCUAGGGUUGUAAAGCUCUUUCGGCGGGGACGAUAAUGACGGUACCCGCAGAAGAAGCCCCGGCUAACUUCGUGCCAGCAGCCGCGGUAAUACGAAGGGGGCUAGCGUUGCUCGGAAUCACUGGGCGUAAAGCGCACGUAGGCGGAUCUUUAAGUCAGGGGUGAAAUCCCAAGGCUCAACCUUGGAACUGCCUUUGAUACUGGGGAUCUCGAGUCCGGAAGAGGUUGGUGGAACUGCGAGUGUAGAGGUGAAAUUCGUAGAUAUUCGCAAGAACACCAGUGGCGAAGGCGGCCAACUGGUCCGGUACUGACGCUGAGGUGCGAA
rnacentral:rRNA from 1 species